rnacentral:rRNA from 1 species
UUAGGAAUCUUCCACAAUGGGCGCAAGCCUGAUGGAGCGACACUACAUGAAGGAUGAAGGUUCUAGGAUCGUAAACUUCUGAACUGGGGACGAUAAUGACGGUACCCAGGUAAUAGCACCGGCUAACUCCGUGCCAGCAGCCGCGGUAAUACGGAGGGUGCAAGCGUUAUCCGGAAUCACUGGGCGUAAAGGGCACGUAGGCGGUUUGUUAAGUCUGAUGUUAAAGCGUGGGGCUCAACCCCAUCACGGCGUUGGAUACUGGCAAGCUAGACUUCUGGAGAGGAAAGUAGAAUUACCAGCGUAGCGGUGAAAUGCGUAGAUACUGGUAGGAAUACCCAUUGCGAAGGCAGCUUUCUGGACAGAUAGUGACGCUGAGGUGCGAAAGUGUGGGGAGCAAACCGGAUUAGAUACCCGUGUAGUCC